rnacentral:rRNA from 1 species
UACGUAGGGUGCAAGCGUUGUCCGGAAUUAUUGGGCGUAAAGAGCUCGUAGGCGGUUUGUCGCGUCUGCUGUGAAAACUCGGGGCUUAACCCCGGGCCUGCAGUGGGUACGGGCAGACUAGAGUGCGGUAGGGGAGACUGGAAUUCCUGGUGUAGCGGUGAAAUGCGCAGAUAUCAGGAGGAACACCGGUGGCGAAGGCGGGUCUCUGGGCCGUAACUGACGCUGAGGAGCGAAAGCGUGGGGAGCAACAGG